UACAGAGGUCCCAAGCGUUGUUCGGAUUCACUGGGCGUAAAGGGUGCGUAGGCUGAUCUGAAAGUGCUUUGUGAAAUCCCCCGGCUCAACCGGGGAACAGCGGGGCAUACUACAGAUCUUGAGGCAGGUAGGCGCCGAGGGAACAGUAGGUGGAGCGGUGAAAUGCGUAGAUAUCUACUGGAACGCCGAUGGUGAAGACGCUCGGCUGGGCCUGUCCUGACGCUGAGGCACGAAAGCGUGGGGAGCAAACAGG
rnacentral:rRNA from 1 species